AGUCCUCAACUUCUGGAAAUUACACCGUUGCUCCCUGUGGUUUGAUAGUUCGUUACUCGGAUAGUCCCUAGAGUGGAUGAUGGUUAGUUUUCUCCAUUAAGUGGAUGUGAAAUGACAAAUUUACCCUUCAUCCUCUCCACUUUAUAAAAACAAAACAACCCCACCCAACCCCACCUUUCUCUUUGUUUACCUGCACUUGAGCCCUCUUAACUUCACCAUUACUUUAUGGCCGGAAAUCCUAAUCAUCUUCUGUGAAUGGAUAAUACCCUUUUGACAGGUGCGGUUUUAAUUUAUUAAUCCUAACGCCGUUAAAUCGCUUCCGGAAAAGUAUGAGAUGUUGAAUAAAUUCUUUCAUAGCUUAACAUCCUCUGUUAGAUUGCUUCUAUUGAAAGAAUCUAUGUCAACGGUUACGAAUAUUAGCCGUCAGGUUCAGAGCUUAACGGAGAGGAGUUUUGGUUAUAAUCAUUUAGGUUAGCUUAAGUUUAUUAUGCCAGAGGCAAUUGAGAUCAAGAUGAUCCUUAUUCGCGAUGAUCGGACGAAUUGUAUGAAGCCAGAUCUUCAUAUCACUUUGAAUUUCGUUAUAGUUGAAAACGACGAAAAUAUGAGUUCUGAUGGCGCUUAGUUCAAAACAAGUUCCAAUCGAAGACGUAGAAACAGAUAAGAAAGAAUCCAGUGUGUUAACUUCUGAACCUCAAGUUCACCAUAGCUCCAAC